rnacentral:rRNA from 1 species
UACAGAGGUCCCAAGCGUUGUUCGGAUUCACUGGGCGUAAAGGGUGCGUAGGUGGUGAGGUAAGUCGGAUGUGAAAUCUCCGAGCUCAACUCGGAAAAUGCAUUGGAAACUACCUUGCUCGAGGGCUGGAGGGGGGACUGGAAUGCUUGGUGUAGCAGUGAAAUGCGUAGAUAUCAAGCGGAACACCAGUGGCGAAGGCGAGUCCCUGGACAACUCCUGACACUGAGGCACGAAAGCGUGGGGAGCAAACAGG